AUUGAACGCUGGCGGCAUGCCUUACACAUGCAAGUCGAACGGCAGCACGGGAGCAAUCCUGGUGGCGAGUGGCGAACGGGUGAGUAAUAUAUCGGAACGUGCCCAGUCGUGGGGGAUAACGUAGCGAAAGCUACGCUAAUACCGCAUACGAUCUAUGGAUGAAAGCGGGGGGAUCGCAAGACCUCGCGCGAUUGGGAGCGGCCGAUAUCAGAUUAGGUAGUUGGUGAGGUAAAGGCUCACCAAGCCGACGAUCUGUAGCUGGUCUGAGAGGACGACCAGCCACACUGGGACUGAGACACGGCCCAGACUCCUACGGGNGGCAGCAGUGGGAAUUUUGGACAAUGGGCGCAAGCCUGAUCCAGCAAUGCCGCGUGCAGGAU
rnacentral:rRNA from 1 species